UGGGGAAUAUUGGACAAUGGGCGAAAGCCUGAUCCAGCCAUGCCGCGUGGAUGAAGAAGGCCCUAGGGUUGUAAAGUCCUUUCGGUGGUGAAGAUAAUGACGGUAACCACAUAAGAAGCCCCGGCUAAUUUCAUGCCAGCAGCCGCGGUAAUACGAAAGGGGCUAGCGUUGUUCGGAAUUACUGGGCGUAAAGCGCACGUAGGCGGCCUUGUAAGUUAGGGGUGAAAUCCCCGGGCUCAACCCGGGAACUGCCUCUAAGACUGCAAAGCUAGAGGACGCGAGAGGUUAGCGGAAUUCCGAGUGUAGAGGUGAAAUUCGUAGAUAUUCGGAAGAACACCAGUGGCGAAGGCGGCUAACUGGCGCGUUUCUGACGCUGAGGUGCGAAAGCGUGGGGAGCAAACAGG
rnacentral:rRNA from 1 species